CGUCAUGCGGACCGACGCAGCGCACCGAGGAGCAGAGGAAGACGCAGCGGCAGCAGCAGCAUCCCCGCUAAAGGCUUGACGUAGGGCAGCCCCGUCUCAACCAUCAACCUAGCACCAGCAGUGGCUUCCGUGAGCAUCCUCUGAAAACACGUGAUAAAAGAUAAGAUGGCCACCUCCUCAAACUUGGACGAAGACGAGAGCUUGAAAGGCUGUGAGGUCUUUGUGCAGAGGCAUAACAUCCAGCAGAUCCUCAAAGAGUGCAUUGUGAACCUGUGCAUCGCCAAACCCGAGCGGCCUAUGAAGUUCCUUCGGGAGCACUUUGAAAAGCUGGAGAAGG